rnacentral:misc_RNA from 1 species
GAUGAAGAACGCAGCGAAAUGCGAUAAGUAGUGUGAAUUGCAGAAUUCAGUGAAUCAUCGAAUCUUUGAACGCACAUUGCGCCCCUUGGUAUUCCAUGGGGCAUGCCUGUUCGAGCGUCAUCUACACCCUCAAGCUCUGCUUGGUGUUGGGCGUCUGUCCCGCCUCCGCGCGCGGACUCGCCCCAAAUCCAUUGGCAGCGUCCCCUCGCCCCCCUCUCGCGCAGCACGAAUGCGCAUGACGAGGGGCGGCUCCCGGGAGCGCGACCCACCCCCAAGAUGACCACCGUCUUUGACCUCGGAUCAGGUAGGGAUACCCGCUGAACUUAAGCAUAUCAAUAAGCGGAAGGA